rnacentral:rRNA from 1 species
AGGAUGAACGCUGGGCGGCGUGCUUAACACAUGCAAGUCGAACGGUAGUUUUUAAAUGGAAGCCCCUCGGGUGGAAGUUUAGAAACUUAGUGGCGGACGGUGAGUAACGCGUGGGUAACCUGCCUCAUACAGGGGGAUAACAGUCGGAAACGAUUGCUAAAACCGCAUAACAUAGCGAAACCGCAUGAUUUUUGCUAUCAAAUAUUUAUAGGUAUGAGAUGGGCCCGCGUCUGAUUAGCUAGUUGGUGGGGUAAUGGCCUACCAAGGCGACGAUCAGUAGCCGGCUUGAGAGAGUGACCGGCCACAUUGGGACUGAGACACGGCCCAAACUCCUACGGGAGGCAGCAGUGGGGAAUAUUGGACAAUGGGGGAAACCCUGAUCCAGCCGACGCCGCGUGAGUGAAGAAGUAUUUCGGUAUGUAAAGCUCUAUCAGCAGGGAAGAUAACUGACAGUACCUGACUAAGAAGCCCCGGCUAACUACGUGCCAGCCGCCGC